GAUGAACGCUGGCGGCGUGCCUAAUACAUGCAAGUCGAGCGAACAGACGAGGAGCUUGCUCCUCUGACGUUAGCGGCGGACGGGUGAGUAACACGUGGAUAACCUACCUAUAAGACUGGGAUAACUUCGGGAAACCGGAGCUAAUACCGGAUAACAUGUUGAACCGCAUGGUUCAACAGCGAAAGACGGUCUUGCUGUCGCUUAUAGAUGGAUCCGCGCCGCAUUAGCUAGUUGGUAAGGUAACGGCUUACCAAGGCAACGAUGCGUAGCCGACCUGAGAGGGUGAUCGGCCACACUGGAACUGAGACACGGUCCAGACUCCUACGGGAGGCAGCAGUAGGGAAUCUUCCGCAAUGGGCGAAAGCCUGACGGAGCAACGCCGCGUGAGUGAAGAAGGUCUUCGGAUCGUAAAACUCUGUUAUUAGGGAAGAACAAAUGUGUAAGUAACUAUGCACGUCUUGACGGUACCUAAUCAGAAAGCCACGGCUAACUACGUG
rnacentral:rRNA from 1 species